AUGAACGCUGGCGGCGUGCCUAACACAUGCAAGUCGAACGAAGCGCCUCGCCCGAUGAAGUGGAGUGCUUGCACAAAGCAGAAUCAAUUGAGGCGACUUAGUGGCGGACGGGUGAGUAACGCGUGGGUAACCUGCCUUAUACGAGGGGGAUAACAGUUAGAAAUGACUGCUAAUACCGCAUAAGCGCACAGUAUCGCAUGAUACAGUGUAGAAAAGCCUUAACGGUAUAAGAUCGGACCCGCGUCUGAUUAGCCAGUUGGCGAGGGUAACGGCCUAACCAAAGCGACGAUCAGUAGCCGGCCUGAGGAGGGUGAACGGCCACAGUUGGGACUGAGACGACCGGACCCAAACUCCGUACGGGAGGCAGCAGGUGGGGGAUAUUGCAACAAGUGGGGGAAACCCUGAUGCAAGCGACGCCGCGUGAGUGAAGAAGUAUUUCGGUAUGUAAAGCUCUAUCAGCAGGGAAGAAAAUGACGGUACCUGACUAAGAAGCUCCGGCUAAAUACGUGCCAGCCGCAGC
rnacentral:rRNA from 1 species